rnacentral:rRNA from 1 species
AGCCUGCCGUACGGGUCCGUCGGGAAAUCCGCCCGCUCAACGGGCGGACGUCCGGCGGAAACCAUAUGGCUUGGGACCAGAGGACCCGAGGGGUACGUCGGGGGUAGGAGUGAAAUCCCGAGAUCCUCGACGGACCGCCGGUGGCGAAAGCGCCUCGGGAAGAUGGAUCCGACGGUCAGGGACGAAAGCUUGGGUCUCGAACCGGAUUAGAUACCCGGGUAGUCCAAGCUGUAAACGAUGCUCGCUAGGUGUGGCGUAGGCUACGAGCCUGCGCUGUGCCAAAGGGAAGCCACGAAGCGAGCCGCCUGGGAAGUACGUCUGCAAGGAUGAAACUUAAAGGAAUUGGCGGGGGAGCACUACAACGGGAGGAGCCUGCGGUUUAAUUGGACUCAACGCCGGACAUCUCACCGGUUCCGACUCUGGGAGUGAAGGUCAGCUUGACGAGCUUACUAGACCCAGAGAGAGGUGGUGCAUGGCCGCCGUCAGCUCGUACCGUGAGGCGUCCUGUUAAGUUAGGCAACGAGCGAGACCCGUGUCCGUAGUUGCCUGCAGCACGCUCAGUGGCUGGGUACACUACGGAGACUGCCUCCGCUAAGGAGGAGGAAGGAGCGGGCAACGGUAGGUCAGUAUGCCCCGAAUGAACCGGGCAACACGCGGGCUACAAUGGCACGGACAGCGGGAUGCAGCCCCGAGAGGGGUAGCUAAUCCCACAAACCGUGUCUCGGUUCGGAU